rnacentral:rRNA from 1 species
UUUUGACCUCGGAUCAGGUAGGGAUACCCGCUGAACUUAAGCAUAUCAAUAAGCGGAGGAAAAGAAACCAACAGGGAUUGCCCUAGUAACGGCGAGUGAAGCGGCAACAGCUCAAAUUUGAAAUCUGGCUCUUUCAGAGUCCGAGUUGUAAUUUGCAGAGGGCGCUUUGGCUUUGGCAGCGGUCCAAGUUCCUUGGAACAGGACGUCACAGAGGGUGAGAAUCCCGUACGUGGUCGCUAGCUAUUGCCGUGUAAAGCCCCUUCGACGAGUCGAGUUGUUUGGGAAUGCAGCUCUAAAUGGGAGGUAAAUUUCUUCUAAAGCUAAAUAUUGGCCAGAGACCGAUAGCGCACAAGUAGAGUGAUCGAAAGAUGAAAAGCACUUUGGAAAGAGAGUCAAACAGCACGUGAAAUUGUUGAAAGGGAAGCGCUUGCAGCCAGACUUGCUUGCAGUUGCUCAUCCGGGCUUUUGCCCGGUGCACUCUUCUGCAGGCAGGCCAGCAUCAGUUUGGGCGGUGGGAUAAAGGUCUCUGUCAUGUACCUCUCUUCGGGGAGGCCUUAUAGGGGAGGCGACAUACCACCAGCCUAGACUGAGGUCCGCGCAUCUGCUAGGAUGCUGGCGUAAUGGCUGUAAGCGGCCCGUCUUGAAACACGGACCAAGGAGUCUAACAUCUAUGCGAGUGUUUGGGUGUCAAGCCCGAGCGCGUAAUGAAAGUGAACGGAGGUGGGAACCCGCAAGGGUGCACCAUCGACCGAUCCUGAAGUUUACGGAAGGAUUUGAGUAAGAGCAUGGCUGUUGGGACCCGAAAGAUGGUGAACUAUGCUUGAAUAGGGUGAAGCCAGAGGAAACUCUGGUGGAGGCUCGCAGCGGUUCUGACGUGCAAAUCGAUCGUCAAAUUUGGGCAUAGGGGCGAAAGACUAAUCGAACUAUCUAGUAGCUGGUUCCUGCCGAAGUUUCCCUCAGGAUAGCAGUAACGUAUUCAGUUUUAUGAGGUAAAGCGAAUGAUUAGAGGCAUGGGGGGUUGAAACAACCUUCACCUAUUCUCAAACUUUAAAUAUGUA